rnacentral:tRNA from 1 species
UCCCUGGUAGCUUGGACGGUUAAGUGUCUGUCUACAAGGCAGGAGACCCAGAUUCAAUCCCUGGGUGGGGAA